rnacentral:lncRNA from 1 species
GAAGUAGAAGAGGAUGAUCCAGUGCCUGAGAUCCGCAGAGAUCACUUUGAGGAAGCCAUGCGUUUUGCCCGACGUUCUGUCAGUGAUAAUGACAUUCGGAAGUAUGAAAUGUUUGCCCAGACACUGCAGCAAAGUCGAGGUUUUGGCAGCUUCAGGUAAUCCUGGUGCAAAGGGUAGUUCCUAAGUUGCUUGGGGGACUGUAGAAGCAGUGGUGGGAGUCUAUAGUAGGGAGGCUGCAGCGGUAGUUGUAACAGAUUGUACAGGCCCUAUCCAUAUCCUCUUUUUUUUCUUCUUGUGUAUACAGAUUCCCUUCAGGGAACCAGGGUGGAGCUGGCCCAAGUCAGGGCAGUGGAGGUGGCACAGGUGGCAAUGUGUACACAGAAGACAAUGACGAUGACCUCUAUGGCUAAGUGAUGUGCCAGCAUGCAGCGAGCUGGCCUGGCUGGACCUUGUUCCCUGGGGGUGGGGGCGCUCGCCCAAUGGGAACCAGGGGUGUGCCCAUGGCCUGUUCCAUUCCUCAGUCCGAACAGUUCAGCCCCAGUCAGACUCUGGACAGGGGUUUUCUGUUGCAAAAAAAAAUUACAAAAGCGAUAAAAUAAAAGUGAUUUUCAUUUGGGAGGUGAAGAGUGAAUUACCAGCAAGGAGCUGGGCCUUGGGCCCUCACCAUUUCUGUUGUAGUUUGGGUGGUGCAGGUAACCUGUGUGGUGUGAACCGAGGCGCUGCCCCCACCAUCACCACAGUAAAGCAUCUAUACUCAAUGCUGUCCAAGCCCUCCCUUACCUCUAGCCAG